CAAGAUCGUGACCUGAAGUCCGAUGCUCAACCGGCUGAGCCAGCCAGGCGCCCCCAGAUUCUUUCUUUUUUUUUUUUUUUAAUUGUCUUCAAGAAACUUUUUUCUUUCUUUCUUUCUUUCUUUCUUUCUUUCUUUCUUUCUUUCUUUCUUUCUUUCUUUCCUUCUUUCCUUCUUUCUCAGCUCUAGAUUCUUAAACUUCUGGUAGUCACGUCAACUAUAUUUACUCAUGUAAUUUUUACAGCAAUCUUUUGAAGUAAGUGAUAUUAUCCAGGUUUUGUAGGGGAGGAAAUCAAUGUAAAGAGGGAUUAAAUACUACAACUGUGACUUUCUCCCAAAGAGAAAGAGCCAUUUCCAACCCAGAUUUAUCUGAUACCAAAUGAAUGAAAAAUUAAUUUUCCAGAGAAAUUUCUUGUGCUUGGUUACUUGAAAGAUCACUUUAUAUUUGUCUGAAAUGAAUGUUAGUCCUUGAGUAGCCAUCACUUUCUUUUUUUUUCUAGAAAGAUCCCUUUGCUUAAAUAAAAAUAGUGAAAGGAUAAAGCUAAUGCCAAUACUCAAAAGUUACCAUGAUUAAUCUUAGAGCCAAUCUUGUGAGAAAUUUCCACUCAUUUUUUGGAGAAAAGAACAGGAGAUUACCUAGAAAACUAACUACCAGUGGAACAAUGCUUAACACUGGACUCACUGUAUGGAACCUCACUGGAACCACGCGUGGAGGAGGAGAAUAGCAGAAUGGAACAAAGGUUGUCCUGGGAAAUAAUUAUUUUCCAAAGAAGAGUAUUAUUUGCAAUGACCUAAAUGUCCAUUGAUAGAUGAAUGAAUAAAGAAGUGUAUAUAUAAGUGUGUGUGUGUGUGUGUG